AGGACGAACGCUGGCGGCGUGCUUAACACAUGCAAGUGGAGCGACGAACCAGGGCUUGCCCUGGGGCAGAGCCGCGAACGGGUGAGUAACACGUGGGUUACCUGCCUUGAUGACCGGGACAACCCGAGGAAACUCGGGCUAAUACCGGAUGUGCCCGCAAGGGGAAAGGAAGCUUCGGCCUCCGCAUCAAGAUGGGCCCGCGGCCCAUUAGCUAGUUGGUGAGGUAACGGCUCACCAAGGCUUCGAUGGGUAGCUGGUCUGAGAGGACGAUCAGCCACACUGGGACUGAGACACGGCCCAGACUCCUACGGGAGGCAGCAGUGGGGAAUCUUGCGCAAUGCGCGAAAGCGUGACGCAGCAACGCCGCGUGGGGGAAGAAGGCUUUCGGGUUGUAAACCCCUUUCAGUUGGGACGAAGCUCCGUCGGUUAAUAGCCGGCUGGAGUGACGGUACCUUCACAAGAAGCACCGGCUAACUACGCGCCAGCAGCCGCGGU
rnacentral:rRNA from 1 species